rnacentral:rRNA from 1 species
CCUACGGGGCGCAGCAGUGGGGAAUUUUGGACAAUGGGCGCAAGCCUGAUCCAGCUAUUCCGCGUGUGGGAUGACGGCCCUCGGGUUGUAAACCACUUUAGUAGAGAACGAAAAGGAGCUAUCGAAUAAAUAGCUCUGCUGACGGUACUCUAAGAAUAAGCACCGGCUAACUACGUGCCAGCAGCCGCGGUAAUACGGAGGAUGCGAGCGUUAUCCGGAUUUAUUGGGUUUAAAGGGUGCGCAGGCGGGCUGUUAAGCCGGCGGUAAAAAUUCAGGGCUCAACCCUGUCGAGCCGUCGGAACUGG